UACGAAGGGGGCUAGCGUUGUUCGGAAUUACUGGGCGUAAAGCGCACGUAGGCGGCUCUUUAAGUCGGGGGUGAAAUCCUGGAGCUCAACUCCAGAACUGCCUUCGAUACUGAAGAGCUCGAGUCCGGGAGAGGUGAGUGGAACUGCGAGUGUAGAGGUGAAAUUCGUAGAUAUUCGCAAGAACACCAGUGGCGAAGGCGGCUCACUGGCCCGGUACUGACGCUGAGGUGCGAAAGCGUGAGGAGCAAACAGG
rnacentral:rRNA from 1 species